UACGUAUGGAGCAAGCGUUAUCCGGAUUUACUGGGUGUAAAGGGAGCGCAGGCGGCUUUGCAAGUCUGAUGUGAAAGGCCGGGGCUCAACCCCGGGACUGCAUUGGAAACUGUAAAGCUAGAGUGCCGGAGAGGUAAGCGGAAUUCCUAGUGUAGCGGUGAAAUGCGUAGAUAUUAGGAGGAACACCAGUGGCGAAGGCGGCUUACUGGACGGCAACUGACGCUGAGGCUAGAAAGCGUGGGGAGCAAACAGG
rnacentral:rRNA from 1 species